UACGUAGGGGGCAAGCGUUGUCCGGAAUCAUUGGGCGUAAAGAGCGUGUAGGCGGCCCGAUAAGUCCGCUGUGAAAGUCCAGGGCUCAACCCUGGGAUGCCGGUGGAUACUGUCGGGCUCGAGUCCGGAAGAGGCGAGUGGAAUUCCUGGUGUAGCGGUGAAAUGCGCAGAUAUCAGGAGGAACACCAAUGGCGAAGGCAGCUCGCUGGGACGUGACUGACGCUGAGGAGCGAAAGCAUGGGGAGCGAACAGG
rnacentral:rRNA from 1 species